rnacentral:rRNA from 1 species
UACGUAGGGUGCAAGCGUUAAUCGGAAUUACUGGGCGUAAAGCGUGCGCAGGCGGUGAUGUAAGACAGAUGUGAAAUCCCCGGGCUCCAACCUGGGAACUGCAUUUGUGACUGCAUUGCUGGAGUGCGGCAGAGGGGGAUGGAAUUCCGCGUGUAGCAGUGAAAUGCGUAGAUAUGCGGAGGAACACCGAUGGCGAAGGCAAUCCCCGUGGGCCUGCACUGACGCUCAUGCACGAAAGCGUGGGGAGCAAACAGG